GGAGGCCGGGGUUGGAGGUGGCUUCUUGAGCAGCCAAAGCUUUCUUGCUAAUGAUAUGAUAAAUGUCAAGCAAAAUGGUCUGGAAAGCCUUCUCAACAUUCAAGGCCUCCAAAGCUGAGGUCUCAAGGAACGACAACCCUUCUUUUUCUGCCAAAACCUGAGCAUCUUCGGCGGAAACUGCCCGGAGGUGGUUAAGGUCCGCCUUGUUUCCGGCCAUCAUGAUCACGAUAUUGGAAUCAGCAUGGUCUCUCAGCUCACGUAGCCAUCUUUGGACAUUGUCAAAGGUUUGUCUCUUGGUUAUAUCAUAAACCAAAAGUGCACCAACUGCUCCCCUGUAAUAAGCACUUGUAAUGGCUCGGUAUCUCUCUUGUCCUGCUGUGUCCCAUAUUUGAGCCUUCACUGUCUUCCCCUCUACCUGCCUCAGACCAAUUCUUAACAAUCAUCUACUUUAAUAUGUUAAAGUGUAAGAUCAAAUAUGCCUUCACCUCUAACUUUAGUUUUAUAGCAAAUGAGUGGUUUAACACAGUAUAGGAGUGUCAAGGAGGUCUUGCGUUAAAACCUUUUGCAAUAUUAAUUACUUCCAUUUUUUUCGUUAACAUUGAUUUCAACUUGUUAGGAUUUAUAAAAAUUGAUAGCCUCUAAUUAACAUGGUCUAUCAGGUCUAAUAUUUUUCCUUCAAGUGUGAGUUUUGAAAUAUUCAGAAAACUGGAAACAGUAUGCAUUAUUAUUACAGAGUUUGAACAAAGUAGUUUUUGAACCACUCCCUCUUUUCCAAUAGAUUAAAAAGAUGAAUAAAUAUAAAUUUAAUAUUAUAUAUGAUGCCACAUGAAUGGUCAAAUUUGGCCUUUUGACUUAAAUCAGUUCAUAAACAAAUUGGCAAGGAAGAAAUAUGCGAGUCAAUAUUCAUACACUCCUUCCUAAAGUCAGAUUCAAACUCGAAGAAAAUGAUCAAUUCAGGCCUAUUGAUAAACAAUUACAAUAUGAAUGUUCUAAUUUAAACGGAUUAUCCUAAUUAAGGAUUCUCAACCCAUCAGAAUCAAACUCAUGAAAUUGUUAAUUAAGUAACGUAAGAACACGACCAACGAUCUAAAUGGAGAAAUGACUUUAAUAAAAAAAAAAAAAAAAGGAAUAUAAAAAUGGAGGGUAGCGUAAACAACCUGCAAAGUCCGUGUAGCGAAUUCAACACCAAUGGUAGACUUGGAUUCCAAACAGAAUUCGUUACGCGUAAACCUGGAGAGAAUAUUGGAUUUUCCAACUCCAGAAUCACCGAUCAAGACAAUCUUGAAGAGAUAAUCGUAUUCAUGAUCCACCUUGUAAGCCAUUUGAACAAAAUUAAUCCUAAUCAAAUACCGAGCCUAACACCUGCCAGAUCCAACAACAUCAUAACGAUUAAGAACGAAGAGGAAGGAAUAAAGAAACGCAUUUUUAAUUUGAUACAGGUCUGGGAAGAGAAACAAAAAAAAAAAAAAAAGAGAAAGAAGAAGAAGGAAGAACUGACCAUAAAGAAAAAAUGGUGAAUGGGAUUGAUUGAGAAGGGGGGGAGAGUGGUAAUUGGAUUAGGAAUUUUGUUUAGUUUUGUUGUUUUUGAAAUUUCUUGGGAAAUUAUAUUAGCGAGUUUUAAGGAAAAAACGGGAAAGAAGAAAAGAAGGGAUAUUAGGGAACCAACGAAACGGAAACAGAAUAACGGAGGGAAAGGCACUGAUGGCGGCCUUUCAUGUGGCACACCAUUCACCCUUAACUCAUUAAUUUACUUUCUUUUUUCUUUUAGUAGAAUAUAUAAAUAAAUAAAUACUCGCCGUUACUAUUUUUUUUUCAAAAUUAUAAGUAUAUAAAUACCACUUGUCUACAUUUUAAAAAUGAAAAAAUAUAUUUUUUCUUUUUAAAAUAACCACUCUCAUAUUUUAGUUUCUACAUCUUUAGUUUAAUUUUUUUUAAAUCAGUCAUUUUUUAAAACUAAAAAUUAAAAAUAGUUUUUAACUCUUUGUUUUUGUUCUUAGAAAAAAAUAUUAAAUAGAAUCAAAUAGUGGUCAAUUAAUUUUGAGAUGUAUCCUUCUUCAUGUUUGUGUACUCAAGUCACUACUUUUUAUUUCCUUUUUUAAAAAGUAACAUUUUAAUUCAUGUAUUUCAAAGUAAUGUUAAAUGGUUUCCUUUUUCAACAUAUAUUUUGAAAACCAUUUUUUAAAUAAUCAACUGCUCAAACCAUUAUUAGUUUCUUUAGAGAAAAAAAGUGAAGAUAAAUUUACAUAAAGGAUGAUUUAAUUGUCUAAAACAUCCAUUUCCAACCUUGAAAAUGACAAAUAAUCUAUUUUUUAAAAAUGUCAAAACUUCCUUUGAUGACAUCAUGAUAGUUGAAUUUACUAUGAUACCCCCAAUAUUGAUUUUGGAUUUUUUUUGUUUCAUAGUUUAUCUCCGUCGUCAUAGUUUUCUCAUCUCUCACGUAGUCUUCUUGUUCUUCGGUCUUCAUCUCCAACAUCAAGCACUACCAACUAAUGGACGAGAGAGCAACACUAUACAACAUCAACGAGACGAGCGAGACAAAAGUGAGUGACACUAAACAUGCAAGACUGAGAGAUAUUGAUCAAGACAAGAGAGAGUGAGAUGAGGGAGACAGAAAAGAGUAAGAUGGAAGAGGGCGAGAUGAGGCUGCUUUUUCGCGUGUGUUUUGGUAAUUCAACUUGAAUUUGACAUCAACAAAAGAUUAUCGACAUAGCCUAUUCCAAAAAACAAGUCAUUUCUUAUUUUUUCUUCAAUUUUUGGAUCAUCCAUCCCCAUACUCUUAACUUAUCAAUAUUUAGGAUGUGGUUUAUGAAAAUUUUGACUUUGUCAGUUUUCUAUUUUAAUUUAAAACUUACAUUUAUAAUUUAUAGCUUAUUAAUUCUUAUUUGAUUCCUACAAUAUUUAUUUAAGUCUUUAGUGUUCAAAAUAUUACAUUUGUUGUUCUUUAUGUUUUGAGAUUUGAUUUUAAUUUUGUUUUUACGUUUCAAAAUGUCACAAUUUUAUCAUUAAGUUUUGGAUUUUGUUUCAAUUUUUACACAUUGAUCAAAGCAUCAAUUUUUCACUAGAUACUCACAUUUGAACUCAACAACACUAAAUUUUGUUAUCACGUGAACUUGGUUGUUUUCAAAAUUAUAAAUUUAUAAAUUAAUAAUUUAAAUGAGGAACUUUUGAUGUUGUUGUUGUUCUUAUUUUAAUGUCUUAAAUUAUAUUAUUUAAAUUUGAUAUUAAAAGGGAAAACAAGCCUAUUUUGUGUUUUUAUGAACAACAAACACCAUAUUUUUAUUCAUUACUUAAUUAAGUGACUGAAUGUCACUAUAGAUUUACAAGAAACACCAAAUUUUCCCACCCUUUUAGACUUCCAACAUAAUGGUGCUCAGAGAUGAAUGCACCUUUAACUCCUUCCCUUUCCUUCUUUCAUCAAGGUAAUACGUAACCUGCACCAAAAUCCAAAAUUACAAGGCUCAAUCAAAAUACAAUCUUACAUAUACACCAAGAAGGAGCAUAUAAAAUGGUAUAUAUAUAGAGAAUUAUUAGAAAUACAAACCUCCACAGUUGUAACCAACAGGGCGAUCAACAAUGUUACAACGCUUAGGAAUAGUGAUCGCAAUGUCAGGCUUUGAUCCCACCAAUUCAGCUGUUUUAGACAACAUAACAGCACAAAGACAGCUUGUACUUUGCCCUAAUUUCUUGACUUGAUCACAACAUCUUUGAGAAACUGGAUAAUCAACAUCCUUUGAAGCUCCCAUACAUGGCAUCAUUUUAAAUGCUUCUCUAUCAGGUGUUGAUGGUGCACAUUCACCUUUUGAGUGAACAUGACCACAUUCUGUACCACCUAUCAACAUUACUGCAACCAAAAAUACCAUGACCCAGUUGUAUUUUGAUGAUCUUGAACAAUCCAUCUCAAUUCUUAUCUUGAUCGAUCCUUGUUUCUUUUUUUUUUAUCUAAUUUAUGAUGAAUUAUUAUGG
rnacentral:lncRNA from 1 species